AUCAAAAUCGAUUUACAAAUUAGAUAGCGAAAUCAUAAGAACACUGAUAUAUAAGUUCGGCAUUUUUUUUUUCUAUUUAUAUAAUAAAUACUUUUUCACUUUAUGUCUGAUUGUUGUUAUGAAACUGCUGGAAGAUGUUGUAAGUAAACAACCUUCACUAAUUAGUAUAAACAUUUCAACUUUACUUCAGACACCUUGAAGAGCGCCGUGAUGUAAAUUUGCAUAUCAAAUGAACUAAGUUUCUGGUGAUGGUAAACGCAACUAAGGAACACAGUUCUAAGAUUGCGGUAAAUUCGACAAAAUUGAGCAAGUCGAAUGGUUAGUCACUAUGACUAGAGCUAUGACGGUCAGAAUUUAUCUAAACUCUCAUUUGAACAACUGAAAUUAGAACAUGUUUAUUUUAUUCUUAUUAUGAGAUGUAUGUUUGUACCAUACACAAUAUGUGUAUGUGUGUAUAUAUAGUUCUAGUUUGCCACAUUGGAUUCUGAUGUUCAAUAGAGCGUUUAUCACUUUCUAUCAGUAAAAUAAAUAGUACGUCAUUUUCUUUUGUCCUGCAAAACUUCUUAUGCAACAUUUUUUAAAGUUAAAAAGUAAAUAAAUAAAUACUUGUGUGGACAUAUACUGCUUUAUCUGUGUUUUUUUUUGGUAGAAUAGCUAACACGUAUGCAUUACUAAUACAUAGUAGGUAUCGUUAUACUGAGAAAGAAAAUGUUAAAUAAUCAUAUAUGCAACUAGUCAUUUACAAUCAACACUAAUAAUGUUUCCAGCCGUUAUCUGCCGCCCAGAUAAGAUAGAGUACAGUACCCCUUUGUUUAUGCGCUGCACUCCUACAUAAGACCUCAGAUAAUGCAUUAUCUACAUAAAUACGGCAAGAUAUUAGCUGAUAUUAGAGAACAAAGACAAGAUUGGAAACCAACCAUGCCCGCGGCCGUGGGCGGUGACAAUCGUCACAAUUCCGUAUGGCCGGCAAUGAACCCUCGCAUUUGCUCUGCCGAAACAAUUAGCGACGCGACGCAAAUCUAACCAAACUAUUUACUGAGCUGCCAUCUACGUAUAUGGCGACGGAAAAAUGAAUUAUGCUAAUAAAUGAAAUAGAAACAAA